rnacentral:miRNA from 1 species
AACUGCGGACAGGUUUUAUGAC